GAGAUGCCGGCGGUGCAGUAGACCAGGAUGAAGAUCAUGCCGCCGAACGCCCACGCGAUGCCGAGCACGCCCACGCCGCCGCACGCCGCGUCGGCGCCGGAGGCCGACGCGUCCGUCUGGUGCUUGUACCCGAUCACCGUGGCCACGGUGAUGUACAGGAACAGCAGCGUGGCGAUGAACUCGGCGAUGACGGCGCGGUACAG
rnacentral:misc_RNA from 1 species